rnacentral:rRNA from 1 species
UCGAGAAUCUUCCGCAAUGGGCGCAAGCCUGACGGAGCGACGCCGCGUGUGGGAUGAAGGCCUUCGGGUUGUAAACCACUGUCAGUGGGGAGCAAAUGCAUCAGGGUUCUCCCUGGUGUUUGAGCGAUCCGCAGAGGAAGCACAGGCUAAUUCCGUGCCAGCAGCCGCGGUAAUACGGAAUGUGCAAACGUUAUUCGGAAUCACUGGGCUUAAAGAGUCCGUAGGCGGCUUGUUAGGUGAGGUGUGAAAUCCCUCGGCCCAACCGAGGAAUUGCGCUUCAAACCGGCGAGCUUGAGGAGGAUAGAGGUGGGCGGGACUGAUGGUGGAGCGGUGAAAUGCGUUGAUAUCAUCAGGAACACCGGAGGCGAAAGCGGUCCACGUGGGUCCUAUCUGACGCUGAGGGACGAAAGCUAGGGGGAGCGAACGGGAUUAGAUACCCCGGUAGUCCUAGCCUUAAA